GCCCCCGUAGCUCAGGCGGAUAGAGCAGCGGUUUCCUAAACCGCGUGGGCAGGUUCGAGUCCUGCCGGGGGUACCU
rnacentral:tRNA from 1 species